rnacentral:rRNA from 1 species
UACGUAGGGUGCAAGCGUUGUCCGGAAUUAUUGGGCGUAAAGAGCUUGUAGGCGGUUUGUCGCGUCUGCUGUGAAAAUUCGGGGCUCAACUCCGGGCCUGCAGUGGGUACGGGCAGGCUAGAGUGCGGUAGGGGAGACUGGAAUUCCUGGUGUAGCGGUGAAAUGCGCAGAUAUCAGGAGGAACACCGGUGGCGAAGGCGGGUCUCUGGGCCGAAACUGACGCUGAGGAGCGAAAGCGUGGGGAGCGAACAGG